rfam:Hepatitis C virus subtype 6k isolate KM45, complete genome
GAAGCUUAUCGCCCAGGGAGGGAACGCAGCGAUUUGCGGCAAGUACCUCUUUAAUUGGGCGGUAAGGACU